rnacentral:SRP_RNA from 14 species
CUGCAGGCUGGCUUCCCUGAGCAGCGAGAAUGUUGGGCUGC